rnacentral:rRNA from 1 species
AACGAACGCUGGCGGCAUGCCUAACACAUGCAAGUCGAACGAAGCCUUCGGGCUUAGUGGCGCACGGGUGCGUAACGCGUGGGAAUCUGCCCUUGGGUUCGGAAUAACAGUUAGAAAUGACUGCUAAUACCGGAUGAUGUCUUCGGACCAAAGAUUUAUCGCCCAAGGAUGAGCCCGCGUAGGAUUAGGUAGUUGGUGGGGUAAUGGCCCACCAAGCCGACGAUCCUUAGCUGGUCUGAGAGGAUGAUCAGCCACACUGGGACUGAGACACGGCCCAGACUCCUACGGGAGGAAGCAGUGGGGAAUAUUGGACAAUGGGCGAAAGCCUGAUCCAGCAAUGCCGCGUGAGUGUUGAAGGCCUUCGGGUUGUAAAGCUCUUUUACCAGGGAUGAUAAUGACAGUACCUGGAGAAUAAGCUCCGGCUAACUCCGUGCCAGCCGCCGCCGUAAGAC